rnacentral:misc_RNA from 1 species
CCGUCCCUUUUUCUCUAGCUUAGCAGGCACUCUGAGUGACUGUUUCAUAGGUGUGCUUCCUGAAAGUUUUUGAGUGAGACCUCCAACAACAACUUUAACUGAAAUUUCACUUGGCCCUUCAUUAUCAAUGAUGCCAUCAGUGGCAUCCAUUUCAAUCUCAUCUCUUUCUUGGUCGCUUUCACCUCUAAUUUCAUCUUCUGUCUCUAUGCUUUCUAACUCAAUAUCCUUCUCGUCAUCUUCUUCAUCCAUUAUCUGCUCUAUCACCUUAGAUAUGAAAUCCCUAUCCACCUUUGCAGGAGCUGUCACCUUCAAGACCUUGACCUUCACACCAGGAAUCAUAUCUCGCAAAAUAUUCUGAAAACCAGGCAAUCCAUCAUUGAGAUCAGAACCAUCUUCUGUAUCAUCGCCAUCCUCAAUGUCCUCAGUGCUCACAACAAAUAGAUCACUUUUUUCUUCAAUUGGCCCUGGUGGAUUCAAGUGGCUGGUGGCACCUGGUGAUUUCGAGGACACUGUUGAAGAGUCUUGGAAAAAUGCUUUCCUUUUCAAGUACACAGCCUGCUGCUUGUAUUCACCUAUCCUGUUCUUUGUAACAAAGAUCUCAAACACUGGAAUACCAACUGCAGCUGUAGCAAGCUGUCGAGGACUAUAACUCCUUGCCACAUAUCUUCCAUGCUCUGCAGUAAUACGGAUAAUUAGACCAUAAGGAUCAUGUACAUCUUCUGAGAUGCCAGACCACCAUCCCACCAAUCCAGCACCAGCAUCAUCUCGCAACAAAGCUGCAUCUUGGUAACGCUCUUCUGCUACUGCUCUACUCAGCUGGGACAUCACUCUGCCAACAGCAUCAUUUGUAGCUGCAGCUGCAAUUGCCACCUUUAGCCUAGCUGCAUCCUCAUAAUCCUCUCUAUUCACAGCCUGAUUCAACUGCGACUUCAAAACGGAGACGACCCGCUCCUGCUCAUCGACUUCCUCGAAAUGCCUUCUCCAUCGAUUCCAAUCCCACUCUUCUUCACCCUUCCCACCAUCCCUCUCCGCAUCCAUUUCAUCCCCCAUCUCCUUAUCCUCUUUCCCACGCGGAUUGAUGAAGGAAUCAAUCCGUUUCAUUGCACUUUCGAUGACACCUUGAAGGGC